AGGGUGUAGCUUUCAAGAACUUUCAUUGAUCAAAAUAAUGUCAUUGAAGGGGCAACUAAUCCAUCUUGUUUAUGCAAGGCAAGGCUAGAGAGUUUCACAAAUUUUAUGUCCAUCACACGUGCAUUAAUAAUUAUCCUGUGCACUGACAAUGUAAACUAUCAUUACUUGACGCAUUAAUAAUUAUCAUGUGCACUGACAAUAUACACUAUCAUCACUUGAUGUAUAAUAUAUAUCUAAAAUUUAAAUUUUAAAUUCAAAUUUACAUUAAUUAUCAUUAUUCUUUUUUUUUUCCAAACGAUAGAAACUUUCAUUACUUCAUCAAAGGAUUACAAGUCUGGAGCAAAGGCUCCUACAUCAUUUUUGGCUAUACUACUCAGCUAAUUUGGAAAUGAAUCAAUCCAAGUUAUCUCAGAAACUAAGUCUAAGGCAAAUUUUGCCAACUGAUGCGACACAGAAUUCCCUUCCCUCUUAAUAAAAGAGAAAAGACAGGAACUAAAACCUUUACUAAGUACCUCUAUGUCAAAGAGGACAGCUCCUGCUAAAUGAUCAUUCAGGUUCCCCUCCCUGAUCUGAUCAAUAAUUCCCUUGCAAUCAGAUUGGACGAUAAUGUUCAUCCAGCCAUUCCUCUUGGCAAAAAUCAGAGCUUUCCGGAUUGCCAUAGCCUCUUCAACAGCAGGAAUUCCCUUCCUAUCUUCACUACCAGCCCAAGCACCUCUUAACUUUCCUUUACUGCAUCUAGCC
rnacentral:lncRNA from 1 species